rnacentral:rRNA from 1 species
UACGUAGGCAGCAAGCGUUGUUCGGAGUUACUGGGCGUAAAGGGUGUGUAGGCGGUUGUUUAAGUUUGGUGUGAAAUCUCCCGGCUCAACUGGGAGGGUGCGACGAAUACUGAAUGACUAGAGUGUGGGAGAGGUGAGUGGAAUUCCUGGUGUAGCGGUGAAAUGCGUAGAUAUCAGGAGGAACACCGGUGGUGUAGACGGCUCACUGGACCAUAACUGACGCUGAGACACGAAAGCGUGGGUAGCAAACAGG